CUCAUGACGAACGCUGGCGGCGUGCUUAACACAUGCAAGUCGAACGGAAAGGCCCUGCUUUUGUGGGGUGCUCGAGUGGCGAACGGGUGAGUAACACGUGAGUAACCUGCCCUUGACUUUGGGAUAACUUCAGGAAACUGGGGCUAAUACCGGAUAGGAGCUCCUGCUGCAUGGUGGGGGUUGGAAAGUUUCGGCGGUUGGGGAUGGACUCGCGGCUUAUCAGCUUGUUGGUGGGGUAGUGGCUUACCAAGGCUUUGACGGGUAGCCGGCCUGAGAGGGUGACCGGCCACAUUGGGACUGAGAUACGGCCCAGACUCCUACGGGAGGCAGCAGUGGGGAAUAUUGCACAAUGGGCGGAAGCCUGAUGCAGCAACGCCGCGUGCGGGAUGACGGCCUUCGGGUUGUAAACCGCUUUCGCCUGUGACGAAGCGUGAGUGACGGUAAUGGGUAAAGAAGCACCGGCUAACUACGUGCCAGCAGCCGCGGUGAUACGUAGGGUGCGAGCGUUGUCCGGAUUUAUUGGGCGUAAAGGGCUCGUAGGUGGUUGAUCGCGUCGGAAGUGUAAUCUUGGGGCUUAACCCUGAGCGUGCUUUCGAUACGGGUUGACUUGAGGAAGGUAGGGGAGAAUGGAAUUCCUGAUGGAGCGGUGGAAUGCGCAGAUAUCAGGAGGAACACCAGUGGCGAAGGCGGUUCUCUGGGCCUUUCCUGACGCUGAGGAGCGAAAGCGUGGGGGAGCGAACAGGCUUAGAUACCCUGGUAGUCCAUGCUGUAAACGGUGGGUACUAGGUGUGGGGUCCAUUCCACGGGUUCCGUGCCGUAGCUAACGCUUUAAGUACCCCGCCUGGGGAGUACGGCCGCAAGGCUAAAACUCAAAGGAAUUGACGGGGCCCCGCACAAGCGGCGGAGCAUGCGGAUUAAUUCGAUGCAACGCGUAGAACCUUACCUGGGUUUGACAUGGAUCGGGAGUGCUCAGAGAUGGGUGUGCCUCUUUUGGGGUCGGUUCACAGGUGGUGCAUGGCUGUCGUCAGCUCGUGUCGUGAGAUGUUGGGUUAAGUCCCGCAACGAGCGCAACCCUUGUUCACUGUUGCCAGCACGUUAUGGUGGGGACUCAGUGGAGACCGCCGGGGUCAACUCGGAGGAAGGUGGGGAUGACGUCAAGUCAUCACGCCCCUUAUGUCCAGGGCUUCACGCAUGCUACAAUGGCUGGUACAGAGAGUGGCGAGCCUGUGAGGGUGAGCGAAUCUCGGAAAGCCGGUCUCAGUUCGGAUUGGGGUCUGCAACUCGACCUCAUGAAGUCGGAGUCGCUAGUAAUCGCAGAUCAGCAACGCUGCGGUGAAUACGUUCCCGGGGCUUGUACACACCGCCCGUCAAGUCAUGAAAGUUGGUAACACCCGAAGCCGGUGGCCUAACCGUUGUGGGGGAGCCGUCGAAGGUGGGACUGGUG
rnacentral:rRNA from 1 species